GAUGAACGCUGGCGGCGUGCCUAAUACAUGCAAGUCGAGCGAACAGACGAGGAGCUUGCUCCUCUGACGUUAGCGGCGGACGGGUGAGUAACACGUGGAUAACCUACCUAUAAGACUGGGAUAACUUCGGGAAACCGGAGCUAAUACCGGAUAAUAUAUUGAACCGCAUGGUUCAAUAGUGAAAGACGGUUUUGCUGUCACUUAUAGAUGGAUCCGCGCCGCAUUAGCUAGUUGGUAAGGUAACGGCUUACCAAGGCAACGAUGCGUAGCCGACCUGAGAGGGUGAUCGGCCACACUGUAACUGAGAUACGGUCCAGACUCCUACGGGAGGCAGCAGUAGGGAAUCUUCCGCAAUGGGCGAAAGCCUGACGGAGCAACGCCGCGUGAGUGAUGAAGGUCUUCGGAUCGUAAAACUCUGUUAUUAGGGAAGAACAAAUGUGUAAGUAACUAUGCACGUCUUGACGGUACCUAAUCAGAAAGCCACGGCUAACUACGUG
rnacentral:rRNA from 1 species